UGUUCCUGUCUUGGUGAUACUGGGCUGAACCUCUGAACCUGUCUGUGAUGAUAUCCACUUGACUGUUCUGAAGAGUGCCUGCUGAAGCUUUCCUCCAGAGCGUGAAACCAAGGAAUAAACUAGGAAGGAGAAGCAAGCCACUUUGCAAAUGAGCUUAUGCAAGCCCUUAAAUGUCCCAAGGGAUCAGAAAACCCAAGCAUUACAAUAGCCAGGCACUGUCUGCGACUUUGCAUAGAAUCUUUUAAAGACAUUCCAAUCUUUUGGAAUGGUUUGCUGGGGCUGUUCUACCUUGGAGCCUCUUCCUCUCUUUUCUUUAGUAAAUCUAUAUGUCUUCGCUUAAAAAAAAGAGAUAAGUGAAAUGGAUGCAUCUGCUUGCUAUCUAGGAAUCACUGGCGAUGUUUUAGAGAAAGUGAAGGAAGCCUGCAGCCUGAAAGAAUUGGGUGGGUGGUUUGUGUGAAAAGAGCCACGUAGGAAGAGGUUUUGGAAGAGAAUGUAAAAUGGGAGAGAUGGGAACUGCGUCUGGAUGCUCACUUUAUUUUGAAAGCAUCACUGGUCGUCUUCUGCAGGUUUCCUCUCUGGCUCUCCUGGUCCAUGUUUGCCCAGGACUCAGAGAACAGGCCAGCCACAGCAAUUGGUUCAGAGAGAGGAAGGCGAGGCAGGCUAACUGUCCUGAAGUGUGAUUUCCAUUUGACGAUUUCUACAAGGCCUGUGAUAGGGAAGUCUGGGAUAGGGUCUCUGGUUUUCUGCCGAGGCUGGUGUGCUGACAGCGUUCAAUGUCCUUGGGCACUCCAUCAGCUAUCUUUCUUCUUGCUGACUAAAUUCCAGGCAAGGAACGUCUUAAGGAGGAGUUUGUUCUGUGUCACACUUUGAGGGAGCAGUCCACCACGGUGGGGAAGGGGAUGGUGGCAGGAGUGGUUCCAGCUGGGGUAGUGGGAACAGAACACUUCAGUUCUCAUCAGGAUGGACCAGACAGGCUGCUACCACAUAGACAGAUGCUCCUGAAAGUUGAAGGAAAGACGAUGAAGAUAAUUCCCCAAGAAGGACAGAUCAAAACAAUGUCAUUUAAUCUCGAACCUUUGGAUUUCCCGAGGCCAUCUCCUUUGGCUUUGAGAC
rnacentral:sRNA from 1 species